rnacentral:rRNA from 1 species
GACAGAGGGUGCAAACGUUGUUCGGAAUUACUGGGCGUAAAGCGCGUGUAGGCGGCAGGGCAUGUCGGAUGUGAAAUCCCGUGGCUCAACCACGGAAGUGCACCCGAAACUGCCCAGCUUGAGUCUCGGAGAGGAAGGCGGAAUGCUUGGUGUAGAGGUGAAAUUCGUAGAUAUCAAGCGGAACACCGGUGGCGAAGGCGGCUCCACUGGCCCGGUACUGACGCUGGAGGCACGAAAGCGUGGGGAGCAAACAGG